UUUCCGUAGGUGAACUGCGGAAGGAUCAUUGUCGAUACCUAGACCAAAACGACCAGCGAACGAUCGAUCAUCACUCUCGGCCGGCCGGUUUCUUAGCCGAUCCCGCGCCUGCCGAUUCCGUGGCUAUGCGUGCGGUCCGGCCAGGAUCUAAAACAUCCCGGCUUGGUCGUGCGUCUGGCUUCCGGAAAUUCACAAAACCCCGGCACGAAAAGUGUCAAGGAACAUGCAACUAAACAGCCCGCAUCCGCCGGCCCGGAGACGGUGUUCUGCGCGGAUGCAGUGCUGUGAUCUAAAGUCUAAAACGACUCUCGGCAACGGAUAUCUCGGCUCUCGCAUCGAUGAAGAACGUAGCGAAAUGCGAUACUUGGUGUGAAUUGCAGAAUCCCGUGAACCAUCGAGUCUUUGAAUGCAAGUUGCGCCCCAAGCCUUCUGGCCGAGGGCACGUCUGCCUGGGUGUCACAAAUCGUCGUCCCCCCAUCCUCCCGAGGAUAAGGGACGGAAGCUGGUCUCCCGUGUGUUACCGCACGCGGUUGGCCAAAACCCGAGCCAAGGACGCAAGGAGCGUCUCGACAAGCGGUGGUGAAUCAAAGCCUCUUCGUACCGUCGGUCGCUCUGGUCCGGAAGCUCCCGAUGACCCAAAGUCCUCAACGCGACCCCAGGUCAGGCGGGAUCACCCGCUGAGUUUAA
rnacentral:rRNA from 1 species